rnacentral:rRNA from 1 species
ACCCGUAAUCCGGGUUGCGGACAGUGUCUGGUGGGUAGUUUGACUGGGGCGGUCUCCUCCUAAAGAGUAACGGAGGAGCACGAAGGUUGGCUAAUCCUGGUCGGACAUCAGGAGGUUAGUGCAAUGGCAUAAGCCAGCUUGACUGCGAGCGUGACGGCGCGAGCAGGUGCGAAAGCAGGUCAUAGUGAUCCGGUGGUUCUGAAUGGAAGGGCCAUCGCUCAACGGAUAAAAGGUACUCCGGGGAUAACAGGCUGAUACCGCCCAAGAGUUCAUAUCGACGGCGGUGUUUGGCACCUCGAUGUCGGCUCAUCACAUCCUGGGGCUGAAGUAGGUCCCAAGGGUAUGGCUGUUCGCCAUUUAAAGUGGUACGCGAGCUGGGUUUAGAACGUCGUGAGACAGUUCGGUCCCUAUCUGCCGUGGGCGCUGGAGAACUGAGGGGGGCUGCUCCUAGUACGAGAGGACCGGAGUGGACGCAUCACUGGUGUUCGGGUUGUCAUGCCAAUGGCACUGCCCGGUAGCUAAAUGCGGAAGAGAUAAGUGCUGAAAGCAUCUAAGCACGAAACUUGCCCCGAGAUGAGUUCUCCCUGACUCCUUGAGAGUCCUGAAGGAACGUUGAAGACGACGACGUUGAUAGGCCGGGUGUGUAAGCGCAGCGAUGCGUUGAGCUAACCGGUACUAAUGAACCGUGAGG